CACUCCCCUGUCAUAUAAAGUGAUCGUAUUCUCUUUCGGGUUUGAGCCUCGUCGCCUCUCUUGGCACAUAAUGGCCUGGAAAUUCUUCGUCGGCGGCGACUGGAACUUCUCCGGCCUGUGGAUCUUCGUCGUCUAUGCUCACGUCUUGCUAGGAUCCGUCUUGAUGUUAACUAUCCAUCUGCAGGAUUAAUGGGACCAGCGAGGAGGUGAAGAAAAUUGUCAGCACUUUGAACGACCGCAAAGUUGCAUCAGCUGAUGUUGUUGGUAUAGAUCUCGAUCAAAUGUUUGGAACUCGUUUGGAAAUUUUGUACUUAUUAUUUGGACGCUUCCCCCUUUUGUUGGAGUUGGAGUGAGGAUAUAUCUUGGUCUCGGUGAUAUUAGCAACUAAAAUCUUUAAUUCGUUCAAAUAUGUAGCUCUUGCUGGUUGAUUGGUGAGCUCUUGGAUGACUGGUUCUUAACAAAUAACCUUGUCCGGUUCAGUGUGAAGGCUAGUUUUGUGUUUUUUGGAUGGUGGCAUUUUAAAAGUCAUUAUAAUUCCUUU